rnacentral:rRNA from 1 species
GAUGAACGCUGGCGGCGUGCCUAAUACAUGCAAGUCGAGCGAACGGACGAGAAGCUUGCUUCUCUGAUGUUAGCGGCGGACGGGUGAGUAACACGUGGAUAACCUACCUAUAAGACUGGGAUAACUUCGGGAAACCGUAGCUAAUACCGGAUAAUAUUUUGAACUGCAUGGUUCAAAAGUGAAAGACGGUCUUGCUGUCACUUAUAGAUGGAUCCGCGCUGCAUUAGCUAGUUGGUAAGGUAACGGCUUACCAAGGCAACGAUGCAUAGCCGACCUGAGAGGGUGAUCGGCCACACUGGAACUGAGACACGGUCCAGACUCCUACGGGAGGCAGCAGUAGGGAAUCUUCCGCAAUGGGCGAAAGCCUGACGGAGCAACGCCGCGUGAGUGAUGAAGGUCUUCGGAUCGUAAAACUCUGUUAUUAGGGAAGAACAUAUGUGUAAGUAACUGUGCACAUCUUGACGGUACCUAAUCAGAAAGCCACGGCUAACUACGU